rnacentral:lncRNA from 1 species
GCUAAUGCGUUCACAGUAAGGCCUUGUUCACCCAAAAAACCAAAAACUUUUUAAAAUUUCUUGUUAUAUCGAAUUUUCCAGCACAUGUAUAGACCAUUAAAUAUAGACGAAGACAAAACUAAUUGCACAAUUUAUCUGUAAAUCGCGAGAUGAAUCUUUUGAGCCUAGUUAGUCUAUAAUUGAAUAAUAUUUGCUAAAUAAAAACAAAAAUACUACAGUACCCAAAACUAAAAAAAUUUCAGAACUAAAUAAGACCUAACACGAAAUGUUUGUGUACGUACACUACUAAUAAGUUCAACAGAUUCAAAGAUCGACCCACC